AUUGAACGCUGGCGGCAGGCCUAACACAUGCAAGUCGAACGAGUGGCGGACGGGUGAGCAAUGACUGGGAAACUGCCUGAGGGAGGGGGAUAGGUACUGGAAACGGUAGCUAAUACCGCACACCAUAGGAUGUGCCCAGAUGGGAUUAGCGAGUAGGUGGGGUAACGGCUUACCUAGGCGACGAUCCCUAGCUGGUCUGAGAGGAUGAACAGCCACACUGGAACUGAGACACGGUCCAGACUCCUACGGGAGGCAGCAGUGGGGAAUAUUGGACAAUGGGCGAAAGCCUGAUGCAGCCAUGCCGCGUGUAUGAAGAAGGCCUUCGGGUUGUAAAGUACUUUCAGCUGGGAGGCGUUACUCGCAGAAGAAGCACCGGCUAACUCCGUGCCAGCAGCCGCGGUAAUAC
rnacentral:rRNA from 1 species